rnacentral:rRNA from 1 species
CCUACGGGUGGCAGCAGUGGGGAAUAUUGGGCAAUGGAGGCAACUCUGACCCAGCAACGCCGCGUGAAUGAUGACGGUCUUCGGAUUGUAAAGUUCUUUUCUAAGGGAAGAAGAAAGUGACGGUACCUUAGGAAUAAGCCUCGGCUAACUACGUGCCAGGAGCCGCGGUAAUACGUAGGAGGCAAGCGUUAUCCGGAAUGACUGGGCGUAAAGGGUGCGUGGGUGGGUUGACAAGUUAGUAGCGCAACUCCGGAGCUCAAACUCGGACGUACUACUAAAACUGGUGGACUUGAGUGCAGGAGGGGUAAGCGGAAUUCGUAGUGUAGCGGUGGAAUGCGUAGAUAUCAGGAGGAACACCAGUGGCGAAGGCGGAUUGCUAGACUGUAACUGACACUGAGGCACGAAAGUGUGGGGAGCAAACAGGAUUAGAUACCCCUGUAGUC